rfam:Pelobacter propionicus DSM 2379, complete genome.
GAGGGCCGGCCCCUCGGAGUCUGCUUGCAGGAGCGGGCUUCAAACCGCCUCAAGCUGCAGGGGUAAAGAACCCUUGUGGUGAGCGUUGAGGAAAAGGCAAAGUAUCACCCUGUCAGGU